rnacentral:rRNA from 1 species
AUUGAACGCUGGCGGCAGGCCUAACACAUGCAAGUCGAGCGAGCGGCGGACGGGUGAGUAAUGUAUGGGGACUGCCCGAUAGAGGGGGAUAACUACUGGAAACGGCGGCUAAUACCGCAUACUAUCGGAUAACCCAUAUGGGAUUAGCUAGUAGGUAAGGUAAUGGCUUACCUAGGCGACGAUCCCUAGCUGGGCUGAGGGGAUGAUCAGCCACACUGGGACUGGGACACGGCCCAGACGCCUACGGGGGCAGCAGUGGUGAAUAGUGCACAAUAGGCGCAAGCCUGAUGCAGCCAUGCCGCGUGUAUGAAGAAGGCCCUAGGGUUGUAAAGUACUUUCAGUCGGGAGGCGUGACCGACAGAAGAAGCACCGGCUAACUCCGUGCCAGCAGCCGCGGUAAUUC